rnacentral:pre_miRNA from 1 species
CCCAGCGGGCCAAGAUCGUGAUGCUCAGCCAAGAAUGACUUGCCCUCAUGACGGACGUGACCUCCUUAUAAUUAAUAGAAUGAUAAGUGACUGAAAGGUGAUCAAUUUGGUUUGUGGGCAAGUCAUUUUGGCGAAGCAACGCGCUGUCCUUUUCGCGUUGCAGGG